rnacentral:rRNA from 1 species
CCUACGGGAGGCUGCAGUGGGGGAUAUUGCACAAUGGGGGAAACCCUGAUGCAGCGACGCCGCGUGUGGGAAGACGGUCCUCUGGAUUGUAAACCACUGUCCCCAGGGCCGAAACUGACGGUACCUGGGGAGGAAGCUCCGGCUAACUACGUGCCAGCAGCCGCGGUAAUACGUAGGGAGCGAGCGUUGUCCGGAAUUACUGGGGGUAAAGGGAGCGUAGGCGGGGAUGCAAGUUGGGUGUCAAAACUACCGGCUAAACUGGUAGUCGCACUCAAAACUGCAGCUCUUGAGUGAAGUAGAGGCAGGCGGAAUUCCUAGUGUAGCGGUGAAAUGCGUAGAUAUUAGGAGGAACACCAGUGGCGAAGGCGGCCUGCUGGGCUUGUACUGACGCUGAGGCUCGAAAGUGUGGGGAGCAAACAGGAUUAGAUACCCUGGUAGUC